UCUCAGUGCCACCGCUUCCGGUGAAAGUGUCGCCGAAGGUACGCUAACUGGCCCGUAUUGGCCCCCGUUACCCCAUAAUAGGAGCCUGAAGUCGCGAUUAUCUCUCGGAGUAGGUGACCCAGAGCGACGAAACUUGGCAGACUUGUUCGCCCCGAUGGGCCACGCAUGCCAAAAGUGCAAUGUGGCGUCUCAGUGCCACCGCUUCCGGUGAAAGUGUCGCCGAAGGUACGCUAACUGGCCCGUAUUGGCCCCGUUACCCCAUAAUAGGAGCCUGAAGUCGCGAUUAUCUCUCGGAGUAGGUGACCCAGAGCGACGAAACUUGGCAGACUUGUUCGCCCCGAUGGGCCACGCAUGCCAAAAGUGCAAUGUGGCGUCUCAGUGCCACCGCUUCCGGUGAAAGUGUCGCCGAAGGUACGCUAACUGGCCCGUAUUGGCCCCCGUUACCCCAUAAUAGGAGCCUGAAGUCGCGAUUAUCUCUCGGAGUAGGUGACCCAGAGCGACGAAACUUGGCAGACUUGUUCGCCCCGAUGGGCCACGCAUGCCAAAAGUGCAAUGUGGCGUCUCAGUGCCACCGCUUCCGGUGAAAGUGUCGCCGAAGGUACGCUAACUGGCCCGUAUUGGCCCCGUUACCCCAUAAUAGGAGCCUGAAGUCGCGAUUAUCUCUCGGAGUAGGUGACCCAGAGCGACGAAACUUGGCAGACUUGUUCGCCCCGAUGGGCCACGCAUGCCAAAAGUGCAAUGUGGCGUCUCAGUGCCACCGCUUCCGGUGAAAGUGUCGCCGAAGGUACGCUAACUGGCCCGUAUUGGCCCCGUUACCCCAUAAUAGGAGCCUGAAGUCGCGAUUAUCUCUCGGAGUAGGUGACCCAGAGCGACGAAACUUGGCAGACUUGUUCGCCCCGAUGGGCCACGCAUGCCAAAAGUGCAAUGUGGCGUCUCAGUGCCACCGCUUCCGGUGAAAGUGUCGCCGAAGGUACGCUAACUGGCCCGUAUUGGCCCCGUUACCCCAUAAUAGGAGCCUGAAGUCGCGAUUAUCUCUCGGAGUAGGUGACCCAGAGCGACGAAACUUGGCAGACUUGUUCGCCCCGAUGGGCCACGCAUGCCAAAAGUGCAAUGUGGCGUCUCAGUGCCACCGCUUCCGGUGAAAGUGUCGCCGAAGGUACGCUAACUGGCCCGUAUUGGCCCCCGUUACCCCAUAAUAGGAGCCUGAAGUCGCGAUUAUCUCUCGGAGUAGGUGACCCAGAGCGACGAAACUUGGCAGACUUGUUCGCCCCGAUGGGCCACGCAUGCCAAAAGUGCAAUGUGGCGUCUCAGUGCCACCGCUUCCGGUGAAAGUGUCGCCGAAGGUACGCUAACUGGCCCGUAUUGGCCCCCGUUACCCCAUAAUAGGAGCCUGAAGUCGCGAUUAUCUCUCGGAGUAGGUGACCCAGAGCGACGAAACUUGGCAGACUUGUUCGCCCCGAUGGGCCACGCAUGCCAAAAGUGCAAUGUGGCGUCUCAGUGCCACCGCUUCCGGUGAAAGUGUCGCCGAAGGUACGCUAACUGGCCCGUAUUGGCCCCGUUACCCCAUAAUAGGAGCCUGAAGUCGCGAUUAUCUCUCGGAGUAGGUGACCCAGAGCGACGAAACUUGGCAGACUUGUUCGCCCCGAUGGGCCACGCAUGCCAAAAGUGCAAUGUGGCGUCUCAGUGCCACCGCUUCCGGUGAAAGUGUCGCCGAAGGUACGCUAACUGGCCCGUAUUGGCCCCCGUUACCCCAUAAUAGGAGCCUGAAGUCGCGAUUAUCUCUCGGAGUAGGUGACCCAGAGCGACGAAACUUGGCAGACUUGUUCGCCCCGAUGGGCCACGCAUGCCAAAAGUGCAAUGUGGCGUCUCAGUGCCACCGCUUCCGGUGAAAGUGUCGCCGAAGGUACGCUAACUGGCCCGUAUUGGCCCCCGUUACCCCAUAAUAGGAGCCUGAAGUCGCGAUUAUCUCUCGGAGUAGGUGACCCAGAGCGACGAAACUUGGCAGACUUGUUCGCCCCGAUGGGCCACGCAUGCCAAAAGUGCAAUGUGGCGUCUCAGUGCCACCGCUUCCGGUGAAAGUGUCGCCGAAGGUACUCUA